rfam:Tribolium castaneum strain Georgia GA2 linkage group LG9, whole genome shotgun sequence.
UUGUUGUUUGAAAAGAGAGAAAGAUAGUCGUUGCCUAGAGAACGACGGAAAUGCUCAUCGAUGAUUGGAUCGCACAUCGAUAUUCCUACAAGAGAAAAAAAGGGUUAAUAUUUU